rfam:Nicotiana attenuata strain TT chromosome 8, whole genome shotgun sequence.
AUAGCAGAGAUUGUGUGUAUCGGCAUUGUGCUGUGAUUGAUGUACUUUUGUCGAAAGAGUUCUCUGCAAAAUUGAUUUUUGAGGAAAAUGGGCAUUUGUGUUUCAUCAAUUUCACUUGGAAAUUUCAACAAUCAUUUUCCCCACAUUU